rnacentral:rRNA from 1 species
GAUGAACGCUGGCGGCGUGCCUAAUACAUGCCAGUCGAGCGAACAGACGAGGAGCUUGCUCCUCUGACGUUAGCGGCGGACGGGUGAGUAACACGUGGAUAACCUACCUAUAAGACUGGGAUAACUUCGGGAAACCGGAGCUAAUACCGGAUAAUAUAUUGAACCGCAUGGUUCAAUAGUGAAAGACGGUUUUGCUGUCACUUAUAGAUGGAUCCGCGCCGCAUUAGCUAGUUGGUAAGGUAACGGCUUACCAAGGCAACGAUGCGUAGCCGACCUGAGAGGGUGAUCGGCCACACUGGAACGGAGACACGGUCCAGACUCCUACGGGAGGCAGCAGUAGGGAAUCUUCCGCAAUGGGCGAAAGCCUGACGGAGCAACGCCGCGUGAGUGAUGAAGGUCUUCGGAUCGUAAAACUCUGUUAUUAGGGAAGAACAAAUGUGUAAGUAACUAUGCACGUCUUGACGGUACCUAACCAGAAAGCCACGGCUAACUACGUG